AGUGAACGCUGGCGGUAGGCCUAACACAUGCAAGUCGAACGGCAGCACAGUAAGAGCUUGCUCUUACGGGUGGCGAGUGGCGGACGGGUGAGGAAUACAUCGGAAUCUACUUUUUCGUGGGGGAUAACGUAGGGAAACUUACGCUAAUACUGCAUACGACCUACGGGUGAAAGCAGGGGUUCUUCGGACCUUGCGCGAUUGAAUGAGCCGAUGUCGGAUUAGCUAGUUGGCGGGGUAAAGGCCCACCAAGGCGACGAUCCGUAGCUGGUCUGAGAGGAUGAUCAGCCACACUGGAACUGAGACACGGUCCAGACUCCUACGGGAGGCAGCAGUGGGGAAUAUUGGACAAUGGGCGCAAGCCUGAUCCAGCCAUACCGCGUGGGUGAAGAAGGCCUUCGGGUUGUAAAGCCCUUUUGUUGGGAAAGAAAAGCAGCAGGUUAAUACCCCGCUGUUCUGACGGUACCCAAAGAAUAAGCACCGGCUAACUUCGUG
rnacentral:rRNA from 1 species